UUGAACGCUGGCGGCAGGCCUAACACAUGCAAGUCGAGCGGCAGCGCGGGGCAACCUGGCGGCGAGCGGCGGACGGGUGAGUAACGCGUAGGAAUCUACCCAGUAGCGGGGGAUAGCCCGGGGAAACUCGGAUUAAUACCGCAUACGCCCUAAGGGAGAAAGCAGGGGAUCGUAAGACCUUGCACUAUUGGAAGAGCCUGCGUUGGAUUAGCUAGUUGGUAGGGUAAAGGCCUACCAAGGCGACGAUCCAUAACUGGUCUGAGAGGAUGAUCAGUCACACCGGAACUGAGACACGGUCCGGACUCCUACGGGAGGCAGCAGUGGGGAAUAUUGGACAAUGGGGGCAACCCUGAUCCAGCCAUGCCGCGUGUGUGAAGAAGGCCUUCGGGUUGUAAAGCACUUUAAGUGGGGAGAAAGGUUCGGCAGCUAAUACCUGCCGGAAGUGAUGUUACCCACAGAAUAAGCACCGGCUAACUCUGUGCCAGCAGCCGCCGUAA
rnacentral:rRNA from 1 species